UGAAAGAAAAUGCCCAUAUUCCAAGACCACGCAGCUGAUUUCUUUAAAAGAUAGACAGGAACAUGGGCAGGAUGUUUAUACAGCAAAAUGUAAACAUUUUCCCUGGCCUUCUUUAAAUAAAAAAUCAAGCAAAAAGCCCCGCUAGAUCAGCUCAUACUCAAUCUGAUGCAUUAUGUCCGUUUUAGACAGCUCCUUGUGUAUGGAUAGGACUUUAACGUAAAUGCAGAAAGAGAUUUCAAUCAUGUAUAAUUAUUAUGUUCACACAGGAGAACUGAGGGAAAGAACUCUGAGCCCAGCCGAACAUUGAGCACUGGAACUCGGCUGAGGACUUUAGAUCGACGCCCACCAAACACUCUCUCCUCAGAAUGGUGCUCGAAUCAAGCCCUGUGUGAUGGAUGAGAGAGAGGGUUUUCCAGUGAUGGCAACAGUUCCUAUGACGACCAGACCUCCACCGGGGAUUGCGUCUGUCAGACAGUGCUAAUGAUAAUUGAGAGGCUGGAGUGGGCAGGCAUGCGGGUUUGGCCACAGGAAGCCAUGAAUUCCUCGGAGAACAGAGGGUGUCAGGGCCCAGAACACGACUUGGGGGGGAGAGACAUACUGUACCUUGUAACGUCUCAUAAUCCUCCUAGUUGACCCCUGACCCCGGCCUGCGUUUGUAUCAGGUCAUCGACGUGAGGAAUUGUAAUGAGUCACUCCAGCAGUGUGUUUACCUUCUGGAGUCACGCAAGGAAGGAAAUAAGGCACGGUCUUCUAAAAGUGUCAAAGUGAGAGAGAAUAGCAGCAGUAUUAGAGCAGAGCCCUGAUUCAUCUCACUGUGACUGACCUCUUGUACCAUUACACUGGGUUUAUUUAACCUAUUCACUACUGUAGGGAGACUAGCUAUAGAUCAGCCAAAACAGGGAGUAAGUCUACAAUAUAGCGCACUGUAUGAAAACAUAAGAUAUGAGAUUACUAGUGUAAUUCUGUAAUUGAAGUCUGAUUCAUAGUUUGGUUCACUCAUUGAGUGAAAUGAUCUGUGUACUGUAGUAUGUAGGUACAGCUUGUUUUUGCUAUCACUGUGUAAUAUGUUGCUAAUAGUCCGAACAUGUAUUAUUUUUGUCAUAAUUUUCUGCUGUGUUGCAGUCGUUCCAGUUUUUUGCUAUGCCCAAUGAAAUUAGGAGAGAUUAAGUCAUUUCCUUUCUCUGUCUCAUGCAACAAUCAUAAAUGAUGUGAUUUUUCUGUGUAAUAAAAAUCUAUUGCAAUACAUUUCUGACUCUCCCAGAUACAGAUUAUAUUAUACGCUUUAGAGGAGAAAUCGCUGCACUCCCAAAUACAUUGUUUUUUAUCUUGAACUUAAAACUGGAAUGAGUAUGGAACUGUGGCCAACGCCUGUGAUUAAAAUACAAUGUCCUGGCCUACCAUCACGCUGUAGCCUUCCACACCGUGGGCUUGUGUGAUUGCACAAUUGUUGUUUUUGAGCAAGUGCCCUUGUUAGUUUUACUCUGUAAAUAAAUAUGUGCUUUGAGCUGACAAUU